rnacentral:pre_miRNA from 1 species
CUGACAGAAGAGAGUGAGCACACACUGACAAUUGUAUAAAGGCGUACACUCGUGUGGUGCGUGCUCACUUCUCUUUCUGUCAG